GAGAAAUCCCGAGCUUGCUUGGGAGAGUAAAGUGGCGCACGGGUGAGUAACGCGUGGGUAACCCACCUUCGAAUCUGGGAUAACUCCGCGAAAGCGGUGCUAAUACCGGAUAAGACCACAGCCGUUUCGGCGGCAGAGGUAAAAGCUGACCUCUCCAUGGAAGUUAGCGUUCGAGGACGGGCCCGCGUCCUAUCAGCUUGUUGGUGGGGUAAUGGCCUACCAAGGCAGCGACGGGUAGCUGGUCUGAGAGGAUGAUCAGCCACACUGGAACUGGAACACGGUCCAGACUCCUACGGGAGGCAGCAGUGAGGAAUUUUGCGCAAUGGGGGAAACCCUGACGCAGCAACGCCGCGUGGGUGAAGAAGGCUUUCGGGUCGUAAAGCCCUGUCAGGUGGGAAGAACCGUUUCGAUACUAAUAAUGUCGAAGCCUGACGGUACCACCAGAGGAAGCACCGGCCAACUCCGUGCCAGCAGCCGCGGUAAUACGGAGGGUGCAAGCGUUGUUCGGAAUUAUUGGGCGUAAAGAGCGUGUAGGCGGUUCGGUAAGUCAGAUGUGAAAGCCCUGGGCUCAACCCAGGGAAGUGCAUUUGAAACUACCAGACUUGAGUACGGGAGAGGAGGGGGGAAUUCCCGGUGUAGAGGUGAAAUUCGUAGAUAUCGGGAGGAAUACCAGUGGCGAAGGCGCCC
rnacentral:rRNA from 1 species